AAUUAUGUUUGUCUCAGUUUGAAAAACUCUGUUACGGUUGAGUUCAUCGGUAUCGUAGCGCCGGGGCUACAACCAAAAAUCAUAAAUCAUGGCCUUAGAUAGACCUAUUGCAGUGGCCGCACAAGAAAUCACUUCAUCGAUUUCAAGGUGGGAAGAUGACAGCGCUACGGCCAAGUGUGGUUUGUUUACGGUUUAAGCUAUGGGAAAUUCUCCAUCUUUGGCUCCCGCCCGAAGCAAAUCCAUCUCUCUCCUCAAGCAAUCCCACGCUCAGCUUGUCAAGUUAUCUACACCCUGUAAGGCUGUAACCUCAGUCUCAUAGCCAAAUUGAUCGCCUCUUACGGAAAGUUCGGGGACUUGGAAUCCGCCCUUUUUGUCUUGGACCGAUGUCCGCAAUAUCCAGAUGCGUUUCUCUUCAACUCACUCAUGCAGGUUCACAUCUGCGGCUCCCUCUUCCGACAGACAACCAUAUUGUCCUCCGUGCGACAGAAACCAAAUCCCCCAUGCUGCACGAGAAUUUGUUUGUGAAAGUCAUCAAUGAUAAGAAUAGCUUUACAAUGCCUUACCCUAAAAUUUCAAGCUCAUUUAAAUGAUCAAUAUGAAUUGAAGUAUUUUAAAGUUCUUCUUGAGCACUGCAUCCCUAAGCCAUUUUUUGGCCCACGAUGCUCCAAGGGGGACACUGUCGUAGCCUCAACGUUUGCUGGAUGAGACAGGCAAGUGGAUUCAUUCUUGGGUGAUAAAGAGUGGAUUUGGUGCUGAUGUUGUCAUUUCUACUGCUCUUUUGGGGACGUGUAUGCAAAUUCUGGUGACUUCUGGUUGACUAAGAAAGUGUUUGAAGAAAUGCCUAUGAAAGAUUUCAUUGCUUGGAAUUGCCUGAUUUCUUGUUAUGUCCAAAGUGGGAUGAUAGAUGAUUCCUUUAAAUUGUUUAAAAAAAAUGCAACACAGUGGAUUGAAACCGAAUGGCUCUACUUUAGCUGGAAUUUUACCUGCUGUUGGUCGUGUUGGUGCACUCCAUUUGGUAAGAUCCUGUCAUGGUUUUGCCAUCAGGAAUGCUUUGGACUUGGAUGAGUAUGUAAUGACUGCUUUGAUGGAUGCUUUUGCCGAAUCUAGUGACUUAGUUGCUGCCCGGAGGCUGUUCAAUCUCAUUCCUAAUAAAAAAAGUAUUGUUGCUUGGAGCUCCAUGAUUGGUGGAUAUGGCACCCAUGGUUAUGGGGCUGAGGCCGUCAUGUUGUUUGAGAAAUUGCAAGAAAAUAAUAUCUAACCUAAUUACAUCACCUAUGUCGGAGUUUUAUCAGCGUGUGCUCAAGCUGGACUUGUCAAAGAGGGUCAAGGAUAUUUCCGAAAGAUGGUUGAUGACCAUGGCAGCAUCCCACAUCCGCAGCACUAUGCUUGUAUGGUGGGCAUGUUUGCACGUGCAGGGCUUUUGGAUGAUGCAGUGUCUUUGAUUAAUCAAAUGCCCACUGAACCAUCUCCAGGCAUAUGGGGUGCAAUAUUGUUGGGUGGAUGCAGGAUCCAUGGCCAUGUUGAGUUUGGUAAAUUUGCUGCUGAGCGGCUAUUUGAGUUGAACUCUGUAGAUCCAGGUUUCUAUGUCUUGCUGUGAAACAUAUAUGCAGCUGCUGGGAUGUGGUCAGAAGUACGAGAAAUAAGGGGUUUAAUGAGAGAAAAAGGAGGAAACCAGCAGGCUGGAGCUCAAUUGAGAUAGGUAAUAAGGUUCAUUGUUUCAUCUCCGGUGACAUGUCCCACUCAGAUUCUGAUAAAAUAUAUCAGAAAUUAGAGGAAUUGAUGGAAAGAAUCAGCAGAGUUGGAUAUACUCCUGAGACUAAAGUUGUCUUACAUGAUGUGGAAGCUGAUGUGAAGGGAAAUGUAUUGAGGAGUCAUAGUGAGAAAUUGGCCAUGGCUUAUUGCUUGCUAAAAGCAGCACCUGGUACGCCCAUUAGAAUAAUGAAAAAUUUUCGAACUUGUGAAGAUCGACAUGCUUCUGCAAAAUUCAUAUCAAAGAUCACGAGCUAGAGAAUUUAUCUUGAGGGAUGCCGUCAGGUUUCAUCAUAUGAAAGAGGGAGUGUGUACAAGCAGGGAUUAUUGGUAAAUCUGUACAAUAUUAUAAAAAGGUAACCAGUCCUGAUCUGCUACACUUGAUACACUCUACUCUUGGCUGUUUUAGCCAAUGCAAAAAAGGCAACAUCAUCUCUACAUACUCAUGGCCCAAAAAAAAAGGGAAUAGUAAUGCGGAGAUGCACUUGAGCAGCUCUCAUAUGGACAGUUUGGGAAUAACUGAAUGCAAGAAUAUUUAGGGAGAAAGAAAGAUCAAAAGAAGCAAUUAUGGAGUGUAUUACAGUAAGAAUGGUUCAUUGGUUAAAAUCAAUGGAAGCCUUCUCACUCUUUCCAUUAGGUGAUAUAAAGUUGAGGGCAGGGGAUUCAGAAGCAGUGGGAUCCACCAUUUAAAAAGGUGUUGUUAAACUUAUUUUGAUAGUAGCAUGGAAAUCUGGGGCCACCGGGAGUAGGAAGGGUUUCCAGAAAUCAAGGGAAGAAGAUAGAAAUGCUCUCAGGCCUGAUGGGAGUAGGAGACUCUAAGGGUAGAAAUCAUGGCAGUAAUACAAGGGUCUCCUGUGAACAAGAGAGCUGAAAACAGAAAGAUUAACUAUUGAAGGUGAUUCGGAAGUGGUUAUUAGUUGAUUGAGGAACAAUGAAAAUGCUGUGUGGGCUUGCAGGAAUGAAAUAAAACAACACAGGUGGUUGACUAAGGAGGUUCAACUUAAAAUAAAUCGGGUUCAAAGAUGAUGCCUAAACAACACAGGGUUGGGUAUAAAUCAGUUUUUUUUCUGGGCAAAAUGGCAAUUCUAUGUUAAGGAGAUUGAGUACAGAUGCUCUCUAAAAGGUGUAUGUACUAUGUAUAUAUUUUCUGUUUAUGAA